GGCUCGGUAGCUUAGUUGGUAAAGCGCUCGUCUAGCAUCCAAGAGUCCUGGGUUCAAAUCUCAGCCGAGCAC
rnacentral:tRNA from 1 species